rnacentral:misc_RNA from 1 species
ACUCUUCUUUUAACAAUUAUACUUGUCAAUCAUCAAUCCCACAAACAACACUUUUUCUCUCCUCUUUUUCCUCACCGGCGGCAGACUUACCGGUGAAAAAAUGGACGUUCGCCGGAGAUCUGAAGAGCCUGUUUAUCCAUCUAAGGUCUUUGCCGCCGAUGAAAAACCUCUCAAACCCCACAAGAAACAACAACAACAACAAGAGGACAAGAAUACCCUUCUCAUUGAUGCUUCCGAUGCUCUCCCACUUCCUUUGUAUCUCACGAAUGGCUUGUUUUUCACCAUGUUUUUCUCUGUUAUGUAUUUUCUUCUCGUAAGGUGGCGUGAGAAGAUCCGUAAUUCUAUUCCUCUUCAUGUGGUUACCCUUUCUGAAUUGUUAGCUAUGGUGUCAUUGAUUGCUUCCGUUAU